rnacentral:rRNA from 1 species
CCUACGGGAGGCAGCAGUGAGGAAUAUUGGUCAAUGGCCGUAAGGCUGAACCAGCCAAGUCGCGUGAAGGAAGAAGGAUCUAUGGUUUGUAAACUUCUUUUAUAGGGGAAUAAAGGUCUCCACGUGUGGAUUUUUGCAUGUACCCUAUGUAUAAGCAUCGGCUAACUCCGUGCCAGCAGCCGCGGUAAUACGGAGGGUGCGAGCGUUAUCCGGAAUUAUUGGGUUUAAAGGGUGCGUAGGUUGUUUUUUAAGUCAGCGGUGAAAGUUUGUGGCUCAACCAUAAAAUUGCCGUUGAAACUGGAAGACUUGAGUGUGUUUGAGGUAGGCGGAAUGCGUGGUGUAGCGGUGAAAUGCAUAGAUAUCACGCAGAACUCCGAUUGCGAAGGCAGCUUACUAGGCCAUAACUGACACUGAGGCACGAAAGCGUGGGGAUCAAACAGGAUUAGAUACCCGUGUAGUC